GUUUCAACAGGUAAUGUAUAUUUCAUUGUGUUGUAUAUUUCUCCGCCUGCAUGAUAUGAGGCAGUUUUUAUAAAAGGGGGAAGUUUCCCAAUAUUUAAAUCAAAUAAUAACAUUAACACAUUAAACAACAUUUGAAAAUGUGUUUUUUUAGAUUGCAGUAUAAAGACAAUAAUAGUGCAUUGACUUGACAUAUCAACGAUACAAGGAUUCGGCCCGAAACGUGGAAAAGCU
rnacentral:lncRNA from 1 species